UACGAAGGGGGCUAGCGUUGUUCGGAAUUACUGGGCGUAAAGGGCGCGUAGGCGGUGUGUCAAGUCAGGCGUGAAAGCCCCGGGCUCAACCUGGGAACCGCGCUUGAGACUGGCACGCUCGAGUUCGGGAGAGGAUGGUGGAAUUCCCAGUGUAGAGGUGAAAUUCGUAGAUAUUGGGAAGAACACCGAUGGCGAAGGCAGCCAUCUGGACCGACACUGACGCUGAGGCGCGAAAGCGUGGGGAGCAAACAGGAUUGAGAUA
rnacentral:rRNA from 1 species